rnacentral:rRNA from 1 species
CCUACGGGAGGCAGCAGUGGGGAAUUUUCCGCAAUGGGCGAAAGCCUGACGGAGCAACGCCGCGUGAGGGAUGAAGGCCUCUGGGCUGUAAACCUCUUUUAUCAAGGAAGAAGAUCUGACGGUACUUGAUGAAUAAGCCACGGCUAAUUCCGUGCCAGCAGCCGCGGUAAUACGGGAGUGGCAAGCGUUAUCCGGAAUUAUUGGGCGUAAAGCGUCCGCAGGCGGUCUUGUAAGUCUGUCGUUAAAGCGUGGAGCUCAACUCCAUUUCGGCGGUGGAAACUACAAGACUAGAGUGUGGUAGGGGCAGAGGGAAUUCCCGGUGUAGCGGUGAAAUGCGUAGAUAUCGGGAAGAACACCAGUGGCGAAGGCGCUCUGCUGGGCCAUAACUGACGCUCAUGGACGAAAGCUAGGGGAGCGAAAGGGAUUAGAUACCCCUGUAGUCCUAGCCGUAAACGAUGAACACUAGGUNUCGGGGAAUCGACCCCCUCGGUGUCGUAGCUAACGCGUUAAGUGUUCCGCCUGGGAGUACGCANGNAGUGUGAACGUAAAGGUAAGUUAGUACGGCGUGUAAGUACGUGUUCGACGACGACGACGAGGGAGGAGG